rnacentral:rRNA from 1 species
UACGUAGGUGGCAAGCGUUGUCCGGAUUUACUGGGCGUAAAGGGCGUGCAGGCGGUUUGUUAAGUCUAGGGUGAAAGCUCCCGGCUCAACUGGGAGAGGUCCUUGGAUACUGGCGAACUUGAGGGAUGCAGAGGAAAGUGGAAUUCCCGGUGUAGCAGUGAAAUGCGUAGAGAUCGGGAGGAACACCAGUGGCGAAGGCGGCCUUCUGGACCAAUACUGACGCUCAUGCACGAAAGCGUGGGGAGCAAACAGG